rnacentral:rRNA from 1 species
UACAGAGGGGGCAAGCGUUAUUCGGAAUUAUUGGGCGUAAAGGGCGCGUAGGUGGCAAGGCAAGUGGAAGGUGAAAUCCCUCGGCUCAACUGAGGAACUGCCUUCCAGACUGCUGUGCUUGAGGCCGGGAGAGGCGAGUGGAAUUCCCAGUGUAGCGGUGAAAUGCGUAGAUAUUGGGAGGAACACCAGUGGCGAAGGCGACUCGCUGGACCGGUUCUGACGCUGAGGCGCGAAAGCGUGGGGAGCAAACAGG